UGGGGAAUAUUGGACAAUGGGGGAAACCCUGAUCCAGCAAUGCCGCGUGUGUGAAGAAGGCCUGCGGGUUGUAAAGCACUUUAGGUGGGGAAGAAAUGCCUGGGGUGAAGAGCUCUAGGUUUUGACGUUACCCAUGGAAUAAGCACCGGCUAACUACGUGCCAGCAGCCGCGGUAAUACGUAGGGUGCAAGCGUUAAUCGGAAUUACUGGGCGUAAAGCGUACGCAGGCGGCUAUGCAAGACAGGUGUGAAAUCCCCGGGCUCAACCUGGGAACUGCACUUGUGACUGCAUGGCUAGAGUCCGUAAGAGGGGGGUGGAAUUCCACGUGUAGCAGUGAAAUGCGUAGAGAUGUGGAGGAACACCGAUGGCGAAGGCAGCCCCCUGGGAUGAGACUGACGCUCAUGUACGAAAGCGUGGGGAGCAAACAGGAUUAGAUACCCUGGUAGUCCACGCCCUAAACGAUGUCGACUAGUUGUCGGGUCUUUACAGACUUGGUAACGCAGCUAACGCGUGAAGUCGACCGCCUGGGGAGUACGGUCGCAAGAUUA
rnacentral:rRNA from 1 species